CUUAAAUGAAUCACCAUCGCUUUUACUUCCAAAACCUCCAUAUCGCUCAUUACUCCGAAAGCUGCCGCUGCUGCUACUAAAAGAGGCAGAGUUUGACUUAUAUGACACUCCAGAAGAUGAUACUCCAACGUACCUAAAAGGUGACAUCUAAUAUCAUCAGCAUGCAAUUAUGCAACUGAAGUUUCUAGGAACUCUUGAGUAAUCAAAAGUAAAGUCAGACCUUAAAUAAUAUACUUACUUGUCACGGUUUGCAGCAGCUUUAUUCCUAACCUCUUGUAUCUUCUCUUUGUUAUUUAAUAGUGCCACAAUAUUUUCCGCCUUUUUCCUCACAUUAAUGCCCAGAUCCUUCCCACUUGGCUCAACAUACUCGAAACUCGUGAGAGACUUGAGUAGAAUAAUUGAAACAAUAGAUAUAUAAGACAUAAAGGGAGAAGGUAAAGGGCCAUACUUGGUUCGGUCAGACAAGGAAAAAGAGAAGGUAAAGGACCAUACUUGGUUCACUCAGACUAGGAAAAAGCUGUAUGUUUUGGUACUGGCAAAAGAAAAUAAGAAAUUUGAUGAAAUAACAUGAGAAUACGUACAGAGAUCUGAUACGUAUGUUCAAUGAUGUCAUCAAC
rnacentral:lncRNA from 1 species